AAUGCAACCAGAAAUUUCAAAAGUAGAAAAGUUAAAAUAUAAACGUGUAAUGUAUUAAAGUACACAUCUAACUAGAUUUCCUAAGGCUUGGUUCAAUGUACACAGAUAUGCAGUGCAAUCUGAUUACUUCUACUGCUUCCACAAGACUAGGACUUCUAGCAUAAAUGUGCAUCUUAUGUCUACCAAAACUUUAAAAGCUACAUUAAAAACUCUAUAUUGCAGAGUGCAAUUUGCAUUUAAAAAAAAAAUCAUACUACUUUUAAGGACGACUGCAAAUGAUUUGUUACCCGAAUUUAUUUAAUUCCGAGAUUAUAUAA